AUUGAACGCUGGCGGCAGGCCUAACACAUGCAAGUCGAGCGGAUGAGGGGUGCUUGCACCCCGAUUCAGCGGCGGACGGGUGAGUAAUGCCUAGGAAUCUGCCCGAUAGUGGGGGACAACGUUUCGAAAGGAACGCUAAUACCGCAUACGUCCUACGGGAGAAAGUGGGGGCUCUUCGGACCUCACGCUAUCGGAUGAGCCUAGGUCGGAUUAGCUAGUUGGUGGGGUAAAGGCUCACCAAGGCGACGAUCCGUAACUGGUCUGAGAGGAUGAUCAGUCACACUGGAACUGAGACACGGUCCAGACUCCUACGGGAGGCAGCAGUGGGGAAUAUUGGACAAUGGGCGAAAGCCUGAUCCAGCCAUGCCGCGUGUGUGAAGAAGGUCUUCGGAUUGUAAAGCACUUUAAGUCGGGGGGAAGGGCUGUAGGUUAAUACCUUGCAGCCUUGACGUUACCGACAGAAUAAGCACCGGCUAACUUCGUGCCAGCCGCCGCGGUAAGAC
rnacentral:rRNA from 1 species